GUGCUGGCUUUGGCAGCACACAUACGAAAAUUGGAACGAUACAGAGAAGAUUAGGAUGGCCCCUGUGCAAAGAUGUAUUGUUACAUAUUUAUUAUUGUACUUAAUCCUU
ensembl:snRNA U6 U6 spliceosomal RNA